rnacentral:lncRNA from 1 species
CCUCUAAACCGCUCAUCUAUGCAAGGGACACCACAGGCAGGAGCAACCUUCAUGGUGACAACAACCCUAUAGGCAAGAGAGGGCUCAAUCAGUAAUCAGGAAGAAGCUCAGUGAGAGGCGCUUCGACCUUGGGCUUGAGCUCCUCCAUCCAUAUCUAUGUUGAGCAAUGGGGAAGACCCAUAUUAACCGUUGUGAGUGGAGUU